AGAUCCUCCGCAGAAUUCCUGCAAAAGAAAGAAGUGUGAGAGAGAAGGAUUGAGAGAAAGUUCGAGAGAGAAAAUUGAAUAGCCAGAGUUUUUCAUCGGAGAGUCGCCGACGGAAUCCAUCUUCUACUAAAACCUACAUUCUGGAGUCCUUCUUGGAGUGAAGUAAGAACUCGUGUUGAGAUUUCCUCCUCUUUCGUCAAGAUCAGAAAGAAAACCCGCGAGGGAAGAUCCGCCGCUGAUUUUGGCGAGGAAAUCGGACGAAACGUCGGGAUCUAAGAACCUUUCCAAGAACGGUAAGGAUGUUACCGGACCUCUUUCCAACGCUCAUAACUCACCGUAUGACUAAGCAAAAA